UACGUAGGGGGCAAGCGUUGUCCGGAUUUAUUGGGCGUAAAGAGCGUGUAGGCGGUUUGGUAGGUCCGUUGUGAAAACUCGAGGCUCAACCUCGAGACGCCGGCGGAAACCAUCAGGCUAGAGUCCGGAAGAGGAGAGUGGAAUUCCUGGUGUAGCGGUGAAAUGCGCAGAUAUCAGGAAGAACACCCGUGGCUAAGGCGGCUCCUCGUAGUACGGUACUGACGCUGAGACGCGAAAGCGUGGGGAGCGAACAGG
rnacentral:rRNA from 1 species